GACGAACGCUGGCGGCGUGCCUAAUACAUGCAAGUAGAACGCACAGUUUAUACCGUAGCUUGCUACACCAUAGACUGUGAGUUGCGAACGGGUGAGUAACGCGUAGGUAACCUGCCUGGUAGCGGGGGAUAACUAUUGGAAACGAUAGCUAAUACCGCAUAAUAUUAAUUAUUGCAUGAUAAUUAAUUGAAAGGUGCAAUUGCACCACUACCAGAUGGACCUGCGUUGUAUUAGCUAGUAGGUGAGGUAACGGCUCACCUAGGCGACGAUACAUAGCCGACCGGAGAGGGUGAGCGGCCACACUGGGACUGAGACACGGCCCAGACGCCUACGGGAGGCAGCAGUAGGGAAUCUUCGGCAAUGGACGAAAGUCUGACCGAGCAACGCCGCGGGAGGGAAGAAGGUUUUCGGAUCGUAAAGCUCGGUUGUAAGAGAAGAACGGGUGUGAGAGUGGAAAGUUCACACUGUGACGGUAUCUUACCAGAAAGGGACGGCUAACUACGUG
rnacentral:rRNA from 1 species